rnacentral:lncRNA from 1 species
CGCAUGACAGCGGGAAGCAAAGAGAGGGAUGCACACCGCUGACUCAAGCUAAGAUGCUGCUCACAUCUGUCAGCACUAAGUGAACAGCAGCCACUCUCUCAGCAUCGCUUGCCUACUUCCUGCUGUGAGGUCAAAGGCACAAAUUAACAGCGCGCACGCACGUCCUUAGCAUCCAAGUCCACAUCCCGGCCCUCUGGCUGUCCUUAUGAGCAAGAUCGUUUUGCCAUUUUGGAAUGUGACUCUGUGUCGCUGAGAUGCUCCUACCAAGCCUCUCGUUUCUGAUUUUCCACGGCCUUAAAGCCGCCAUCUGGUGCAAGGCUGGGAAGGACACUGGGAGAUCCCUGUGCAGCCUCUGGCCUCAGGCCUGCCCCCCAGGGCCGAGAGAAACAAUUUCAUCUCAGUCAGAGCUUUCCUCCCAUCUUCGGAGGCUUGGCCUUUUGCAUAGGUCUGGCUCUCCCUCCAGGGAGUCUAUUCCGUGCUGAUGGACGGUCACCGCUGGAACACUCUGAAAGGUUUGAACUAUCGAAAAGAUUUUGUGUUUCAGACCAACCUUGCUUUGUAAAUCAUCCUGGUAUCUCCAGUCUAAAUACCAACAGUGGGGACAGCUUGUGAUUAACCUCUCCCCUCCAAGAAGCAACCAGCAACAAUGAUUCUUCCUUCAAGAACAAUGUAACCAGUUUUUAAUAAAGCCAAAAGAUUCCUGCCCAG